UGGCUGUCGUCAGCUCGUGUCGUGAGAUGUUGGGUUAAGUCCCGUAACGAGCGCAACCCUUGUCCUUAGUUACCAGCACGUAAUGGUGGGCACUCUAAGGAGACUGCCGGUGACAAACCGGAGGAAGGUGGGGAUGACGUCAAGUCAUCAUGGCCCUUACGGCCUGGGCUACACACGUGCUACAAUGGUCGGUACAGAGGGUUGCCAAGCCGCGAGGUGGAGCUAAUCCCACAAAACCGAUCGUAGUCCGGAUCGCAGUCUGCAACUCGACUGCGUGAAGUCGGAAUCGCUAGUAAUCGCGAACUAGAAUGUCGCGGGUGAAUACGUUCCCGGGUCUUGUACACACGCAU
rnacentral:rRNA from 1 species